GCCUGGUCCGAAGGUAGUGUUGCCUCAAUUGACUGUUCACAGUCAGUACAGAAUGAACUACCUGUUCUACUCUUUUCGGACUCUUCUCACUACUGCACUAGACUAGUCUUCC
ensembl:misc_RNA Y_RNA Y RNA